rnacentral:rRNA from 1 species
GGGGAAUUUUCCGCAAUGGGCGAAGGCCUGACGGAGCAAUGCCGCGUGGAGGAUGACAGCCCAUGGGUCGUAAACUCCUUUUCUUAGAGAAGAAAUUUUGACGGUAUCUGAGGAAUAAGCAUCGGCUAACUCCGUGCCAGCAGCCGCGGUAAUACGGAGGAUGCAAGCGUUGUCCGGAAUCAUUGGGCGUAAAGGGUCCUGAGGUGGUUUGCUCAGUCCACUGUGAAAGUUCAGGGCUUACCCUUGAAAAUGCGGUGGAAACUAGUAGGCUAGAGUACGGUGGGGGCAGAGGGAAUUCCCGAUGUAGCGGUGAAAUGCAUAGAUAUCGGGAAGAACACCGACGGCGAAGGCACUCUGCUGGGCCGACACUGACACUGAAAGACGAAAGCCAGGGGAGCGAAUGGGAUUAGAUACCCCAGUAGUC